UACAGUGGAGGUUUAUACGAAGAAUCUUCACGACGAAUUCCCCGGCACUAGUUUCCAGGCCAUGAGCGCCAAGUUGCUGUUGAAUAUGGCUGAGCGAAUAGCGAAACUUCAAGAUAAGCAGGAUGCGAGAUAUUUCUUGGUGAUGAUUUUAGAUGCUAUUGGAGAUAAAUUUGCGGCCAUGAAUCACCAAUUUGAUAACGUGGUCAAGUUGUCACGGGCAUCGAAGCUACAGGCAGAGAACACGAAGGAAUCUUACCUCGCGGAAAACGAUAACCCACCGGACUGGGAUGAAAUCGAUAUCUUUUCCGCGGCCCCCGUAAAGACUUCAAAUCCGCGAGAGCGCAAUGCUGAUCCCGUUGAAGAUAAUAAAUUCCUUUUUAACAAUCUCGUGAAGGGGCUGAAGAGUUUAUUUUAUACGCUGAAAGCAACU
rnacentral:sRNA from 1 species